UUGAAUUGGAAACUAACUUCAGCAUCAUAACUUUGGGGGGGGGGAUCUGUUUAGGCAAAAUGAAUUUCAGGCCUUUGACACUGACUUAUAAUCAUUGAAUGUUUUGUUUUUUUUCCUGGAAAAUCCCAACCAGAGAAAUAGAUCCAGUGAUCGGAGUGACGGUGGAUUAGAGUCUACACACAGCGGUUCCAGUUAAAAAGCUACGGAUGAGACAUAUGGGCUUGAUCCAGAGCAGAGGCAAAUGGAUCAAACACGUCCAGCUCGUCGCCUGCAGAAACUUAAAGCCCAUCACAAUAAAUGUGAGGCUCCUCACAAGAAGCUCGUCACAAAGUUGCCUUUGCUUUGUUGCACAAAGGCAACAAAUGAAGUGAGGGAGAACAUGUCUUUUCUUCAUCAGAAGGGUUUAAUGGUUAGUUUUGCUUCACUGUUUUCUUGAUGUACCCAGAGAUGAGAACUGUUAGUAAAUGUACCAUUGUAUGUGUGGCUUGAGCUGUUUUGACACAGUAUUGUAAAAAUAUCAAGAAAAUCUUCUUGCAAAUUUCUUAAUACUUACUAUACUGCUCAAAAAAAUAAAGGGAACACUUAAACAGGUGUUUAACACUUAAAGUGUUCCCUUUAUUUUUUUGAGCAGUGUAUAAUUAUAUAAUCAACACAAAUUUAUAGCUAUCUUUAAUGCUGGAUAAAAAAAAUCGUGUCAACUUUUAAAAGUUUUGUGAAACAAAACAAAAAUACUGUCAGUUAUUACAAGAUUUCAAGUGUCCAACGUCACGAUGCAGACACUGCUUAUCAGAGAAGAAAUAUAUAUGGUGGUGGCUGCUUUGCAAAAUCAUGAACCUGAAACUUUAGACUGUGCACAGGAGCUUUCUUUGAGGGGGAUUCACCUUGUCAGUCAAUUCAAAUUUAUUUAGUGUCUAUUACAAUACAACUUGUCACUAGAUGCUUCCCGGAGACCCAGACAUGGACUAAUCAGGACUUAACCCAAAAUACUCUGAAGCAUUUAUUAUCUUCCAGUCUAUGAAAUUCCAAUGGCCUGUCAAGUUGAAGUAUAAAAUCAGUGUGCAUAGUUUCAGUGUCAUUUAGUCUAAAUUUAGUAGGUUAGAUUAGGUGGUAAUGGAUACCAAAACCCAAAAGUGUCAUGAAACAGUGUGGUGUUGAGGUGGUGAGGCAGACGCUGUAGACCCAGGAUGUGAUAAGUAAAUGGUUUUAAUGAUGAAUGUAGGGCUGAAACGAUUCAUCGAGUAACUCGAGUAACUCGAUUACAAAAAAUCCUCGAGGAAAUUUAUCUGCCUCGAAGCUUCGCUAAAUUUAUUGUAUAGUAAUAAGCAAUGCUGUUAAAUACGCAGCACACUGGUCUAGCCGGAGGGUUUUUGUGUUGCACAACGCUACCACUUCCGUUAGCGCCUGGAGCACAUGUGCUAAGUUUGUAGCUAUGGAGGGAACCGGAGAAUGCUCAGAAGGAGAACCCCGAAAGCGACAAAAAAUGUCAAAAGUUUGGGAACAUUUUAGGCUAAACAGAAAGGACAACACAGCGCAAUGCAUCCACUGCAAAGCAGAAUUGGCGUACCACAACAGCACGACAUCAAUGUUGCAGCAUCUGAAGAGAAAACACCCGCUACAUGCAUCCAACUCAUACACAGUUGCCAACAGCCCUAGAUGAAUGUCCAGAAAACAGUCCAACCAAUGGACAGCACGGCCGAGCGGAAGCCAGGGCUCGACACCGGUAGCAACCGUUACACAAAGGACAACACGAAGGACUGAGCGCACAUUCGACAAGGACCCGACAGAGACGCAGAGACACAGGAGUCAAAACAGUCAUCUGACGACAGCGAUGAUACAAUAAUCCUCGAUCCAACACCAACUGAAGGGGACAUGAGCGUGCCUGAGCUCACAAGAACUGACAGUGUGAUUCUGUAGCAGAGACAACAGCCUGAUCCUGAACGUUGAC